rnacentral:tRNA from 6 species
AAAAUCCGUUGACUUUCAAAAUCGUGAGGGUUCAAGUCCCUCUAUCCCCA